UGCCCUGGCAAUGGGCAAAGGGAUGCCUUGUUGGUGGUGGUGUUCUUAUAUCAAUCAUGGGUAGAGCAGAUGUCAGUACUUUGUUUAUCCUAGAUUGAUGGCUGUCUUGGUGGCCAAACUGACUUAUGCGUGGGACUCAUAA
rnacentral:snoRNA from 1 species